AUUGAACGCUGGCGGCAGGCCUAACACAUGCAAGUCGAACGAGUGGCGGACGGGUGAGUAAUGUCUGGUAAACUGCCUGUUGGAGGGGGAUAAAUACUGGAAACGGUAGCUAAUACCGCAUACCAUCAUAUUUGCCCAGAUGGGAUGUGCUAGUUGGUGGGGUAACGGCUCACCAGGGCGACGAUGCCUAGCUGGGCUGAUAGGAGGACCAGCCACACUGGAACGGGGACACGGUCCAGAUUCUUACGGUGGGCAGCAGUGGGAAUUAUUGCCAAAUGGGGGCAAGCCUGCUGCAGCCAGCCGGGGUGUAUGAGGAAGGCCUUCGGGUUGUAAAGUACGUUCAGCGGGGAGGCGUUACCCGCAGAAGAAGCAACGGCUAACUACGUGCCAGCAGCCGCGGUAAUAC
rnacentral:rRNA from 1 species